UACGUAGGCAGCGAGCGUUGUUCGGAGUUACUGGGCGUAAAGGGUGUGUAGGCGGUUGUUUAAGUUUGGUGUGAAAACUCCAGGCUCAACCUGGAGACGCCACCCGAUACUGCCAUGGCUAGAGUCCGGUAGGGGACCACGGAAUUCCUGGUGUAGCGGUGAAAUGCGCAGAUAUCAGGAGGAACACCGGUGGCGAAGGCGGUGGUCUGGGCCGAUACUGACGCUGAGGAGCGAAAGCGUGGGGAGCGAACAGG
rnacentral:rRNA from 1 species